UACGAAGGGGGCUAGCGUUGUUCGGAAUUACUGGGCGUAAAGCGCGCGCAGGCGGUCUUCCAAGUCAGUGGUGAAAGCCCGGGGCUCAACCCCGGAAUUGCCUUUAAGACUGCAUCGCUUGAAUCCGGGGAAGAGGUGAGUGGAAUUCCGAGUGUAGAGGUGAAAUUCGUAGAUAUUCGGAAGAACACCAGUGGCGAAAGGCGGCUCACUGGACCGGGCAUUGACGCUGAGGUGCGAAAGCGUGGGGAGCAAACAGGG
rnacentral:rRNA from 1 species